rnacentral:tRNA from 1 species
UAAGAAUAAAUACAAUAAUGAUGAAUGGAAAAAGAAAAUCCUUUAGCUAGAUAAGGGGCGGAUGUAGCCAAGUGGAUCAAGGCAGU